rnacentral:tRNA from 1 species
GGGCAGGUGGUGAAAUUGGCAAACACGCAGGCUUCAGGAGCCUGUGCCUGCAAAGGCUUGAGGGUUCAAGUCCCUCUCUGCCCA